UACUAUGAGGUCAUAGUUUGAUAAUUUAAAAUAAUUGAAUCAAUCUUCUUACGGUUUUGAAUCAAAAAUUCUCAAAUAACUCUAGCACCUUUGACGAGUUCAUAAUGGAUUUCUCAUUGUGUUUGAUCUUUCGUUGGUUUCUUAUUUGGUUCUGGUUGUCUUGUAUUCUCUUAUUUGGCAGUGGACCUUUUGGAAUGAGAUGUUAGUAAUUUUCUUUUGGAUUCGUGAUUUGCUUUAUUUUUGGUUGAAGUAUUUCUUGUAAAAAAAAUUAUAUGAAAAAUUUAUUUUAUUUUC
rnacentral:lncRNA from 1 species